GGGAAUGGCCACAGCUUAGCUGGGAGAGCAUCUGCCUCAUAUGCAGAAGGCCUCAGGUUCAAUUCCCAGCAUCUCCA